AUUGAACGCUGGCGGCAUGCCUUACACAUGCAAGUCGAACGGCAGCACGGGUGCUUGCACCUGGUGGCGAGUGGCGAACGGGUGAGUAAUACAUCGGAACAUGUCCUGUAGUGGGGGAUAGCCCGGCGAAAGCCGGAUUAAUACCGCAUACGAUCUACGGAUGAAAGCGGGGGACCUUCGGGCCUCGCGCUUUAGGGUUGGCCGAUGGCUGAUUAGCUCGUUGGUGGGGUAAAGGCCUACCAAGGCGACGAUCAGUAGCUGGUCUGAGAGGACGACCAGCCACACGGGUACUGAGACACGGCCCAGACUCCGAGGGGGGGCAGAAGGGGGGAAUUUUGGAAAAUGGGCGAAAGCCUGACCAAGAAAUGCCGCGUGGGUGAAGAGGGCCUUCGGGUGGUAAAACUCUUUGGUCGGGAAAGAAAUCCUGGCCCAUAAUGCGGGCGGGGGAUGAGGGUACGGAAAAAAAAAGCCCCGGCUAACUACGUC
rnacentral:rRNA from 1 species